rnacentral:rRNA from 1 species
GAUGAACGCUGGCGGCGUGCCUAAUACAUGCAAGUCGAGCGAACAGAUGAGGAGCUUGCUCCUCUGACGUUAGCGGCGGACGGGUGAGUAACACGUGGAUAACCUACCUAUAAGACUGGGAUAACCUCGGGAAACCGGAGCUAAUACCGGAUAAUAUAUUGAACCGCAUGGUUCAAUAGUGAAAGACGGUUUUGCUGUCACUUAUAGAUGGAUCCGCGCCGCAUUGGCUAGUUGGUAAGGUAACGGCUUACCAAGGCAACGAUGCGUAGCCGACCUGAGAGGGUGAUCGGCCACACUGGAACUGAGACACGGUCCAGACUCCUACGGGAGGCAGCAGUAGGGAAUCUUCCGCAAUGGGCGAAAGCCUGACGGAGCAACGCCGCGUGAGUGAUGAAGGUCUUCGGAUCGUAAAACUCUGUUAUUAGGGAAGAACAAAUGUGUAAGUAACUAUGCACGUCUUGACGGUACCUAAUCAGAAAGCCACGGCUAACUACGUG